UGGUCUCUUCACACGGAUGUGCAUGAAAUUUGGUGCUGUGACUCGGAUCAAGGGACCUUCCUUGGGAGAUCAAUCCCCUGUCCUCCUGCUCUUCGCUCCGUGAAAAAGAUCCACCUAUGACCUCAGGUCCUUAGACCCACCAGCCCAAGGAACAUCUCAUCAAUUUUAAAUCGGGUAGUCACAUAAGAAUGUGAUGUUUGGAGUUGCAGAAGCAAUUUUUUGACCCUACGGGACAAACCUGUACACGAAGAGCCAUUAUAUUGAAUAUGAUGGGUCAGAAGAAUGGAAACAGCCAGAGUUUUUGGUAACCCUGCUGAGCCAAAUCUCAACCCUGACACCACUUAUCCCUACACUGCUAGUUAUGUGAGCUAAUUAAAUGUGUUUUGGUUUAAGGCACUGUUAUUUGGGUAUUUUGUUAGUUGAAGCUGAAAGCAAAUUAAAUAACCUACCUAGACUGGU